UACGUUUUAAGUGAAUAACUACUUAUUCUAAUCGAAUACAAUAUGUAAAAAUAAUUACAUUUUAUUAUUUAAACUUAAACUUUAGCCAAAUGAAACAACAUGUCAUUUGCAACUAAUUUCACAUUUUCGUAAAAACCCUCUUUUUUGUUUUCUCAAUAGCUUGGUCUCUAUGGCAUCAAUCACGCUCAAAUUUCAGUAUGUUAUAGCUGGGCCUUAGAGCUUCGACUAAAAAAAAAAAAACGCAAAACUUCCCGGGCUAGAAUCAAAUUAUUUUUCUUUAAAUGGUUAUAGCUCUGUUUCUAACUCUCAUAAUUUGAUCAAUGAGGGCGUUUUGGUAAACUUUCGUGAAAUGCCGAUCUCCUUUUAACAUCAUAAGUUCGUAAAACUACAGCUAGGGGUGCUAUAAUUAAAAAGAAAACUUUCCAAUUUUCUAAGUUAAUUAGCUCCGGCUCUAUAGCACGGAUCGGGCUGAAAUUUUGGUAGAGGGAGCGGAUUGAGCUAAAAAUUCUUCAUGAAUCUCUCUUAAACAUGCCUAAGAAACUUACUUAUGUUAUAAAGAAUAAGGUAAAUACCAAUUAUUAAAGCAUUCUUAUUGAUUAGGUUUUUUAAAUUUUCAUUUUAAAAAAAUUGAAUGAAUUUCGCUCUAAAUCAUCCAAAAAUUUAAUAUUUGGCUGGCGUACACGCACGAACGCAAAUGCACGAGGGUCAGUGUAUUGUGUUCUUCAAAUGACGUGUUUGCAUAAAAUAAAUAAUAUUAGUUUCUAUAUGCAUUGAUUAUAACAAUUAAUAAUUUGAAUGAAAUUUAUAUUUAUUUAGAAUGAAAAACCAAUCAAAUCUAAUACUAUUUUUUGAAUCAAUAGCAUAAGUAUUUGAAAAAAAGGAAAUUACAUUCAGAUCUAUGACUGAUUUUAUCAGUACGGAAAACAUUAAAACGAGUCAGUCUUGAAGAAACCGCUGAGUUGAAAAGUUGUCACACAAAUUAUUUCCAAUCUAUUUGAAAAUGAAAAAAAAAACUAAAAAAAUGUUAGAGUGAAUAAGUAAACUUAUAAAGUGGCAAAAAUCAUCAAGUGAUCGACAAAGAAAUUUGAUAAAGUGUUGGAAAUCGUUAGAUUGGUUCAAUCGAUCAUCCUGAUUGCAAGUCAUUGUUGAUUGGAAACGUCCGUGAGCAGAAGCUGGAAAAUUAUCCCCAUCUGUUUUAUCGAACUACUUUUCUUCAAAAAUUCCAUCUAGGAGAGACCUAAAUAGUAUCAAGGUAAGAAAAUUGAUUUUUUUUUGUAAUGCAAUAAGAAUUACAUAAUCUGUGAAAGUUAGCAUUGAUCUUUACAAAGAAAUAUUGGACCUCGCAUAAUUUUUUUAUUAUAAAAAUGUUAAUUAUAUCAACUUAUUUAUGUUGAAUAUGUAUUUUCAAUUAUCGCUUUGGAAAAUAUCAUACUGGAAAAGUUUUUAAUUUCAUUUUUAUUUUUAUUCUUUCUUUUAUCAAUCGUGGUAACCGUUGAAUCCGUUCACUGGGCAAAGGACAAUCAUUGUCUUUUCCAUGGAAUUGGAAAAGUGAUUCGCAGAUAGCAGCAGAACUCAGAGGAAACAGUAAAGGCCGUAAAUCUGCAAAACACAACUUAGAAAAGUGAGCGCUGUAAUAAAAGUAGACGAGGAGCACUACCACUGAUCAAAUUUCAUUAUGUCAUCGUUUAUCUUUACGGGGCAAAACACAAUCAGUCUUUUGAAAUAUCUUAUUUCUUCUGAAACUGGUAAACACAAUUGGGAGAAAGCAGAAGAACAUACAUCCAAAAGCUGAGAAGAAGACUUCACGAAACUACUAGAAAGUCGUGCAACACCCCAUAGAAAUUAAUGUAAUACAAUUUUAUUGUGAAUACACAUUAUUUAUGUCAAAUAAAUUUAUUUUUGAAAUCAUAGCAAGAGUUUUUUAAAUAUACCCUGGUACU